GUGGUGACCCACAACCACCUGCCGGGGGUUUAGGCGUUGACCCGCAUCCACCGGAUGGAGGUUUUGGUGGUGAUCCGCAGCCACCAGAUGGGGGUUUAGGUGUUGACCCGCAUCCACCGGCUGCAGGUUUCGAUGUUGAACCGCAUCCACCGGAUGGAGUUUUUGGCGGUGAUCCGCAGCCACCAGAUG